CCUACGGGUGGCAGCAGUCGAGAAUCAUUCACAAUGGGGGAAACCCUGAUGGUGCGACGCCGCGUGGGGGAAUGAAGGUCUUCGGAUUGUAAACCUCUGUCAUGUGGGAGCAAAUUAAAAAGAUAGUACCACAAGAGGAAGAGACGGCGAACUAUGUGCCAGCAGCCGCGGUAAUACAGAGGUCUCAAGAGUUGUUCGGAAUCACUGGGCGUAAAGCGUGCGGAGGCUGGUUCGUUAGUAGAGUGUGAAAAGCGCGGGGUCAACCCGCGGACGGCACAUGAUACUGCGAGACUAGAGUAAUGGAGGGGGAAGCGGAAUGCUCGGUGUAGCAGUGAAAUGCGUAGAUAUCGAGAGGAACACUCGUGGCGAAGGCAGGUUCCUGGACAUUAACUGACGCUGAGGCACGAAGGCCAGGGGAGCGAAAGGGAUUAGAUACCCCUGUAGUC
rnacentral:rRNA from 1 species